rnacentral:rRNA from 1 species
AGAGUUUGAUCCUGGCUCAGGAUGAACGCUAGCUACAGGCUUAACACAUGCAAGUCGAGGGGCAGCAUUUUAGUUUGCUUGCAAACUAAAGAUGGCGACCGGCGCACGGGUGAGUAACACGUAUCCAACCUGCCGAUAACUCGGGGAUAGCCUUUCGAAAGAAAGAUUAAUAUCCGAUAGUAUAUUAAAACCGCAUGGUUUUACUAUUAAAGAAUUUCGGUUAUCGAUGGGGAUGCGUUCCAUUAGUUUGUUGGCGGGGUAACGGCCCACCAAGACUACGAUGGAUAGGGGUUCUGAGAGGAAGGUCCCCCACAUUGGAACUGAGACACGGUCCAAACUCCUACGGGAGGCAGCAGUGAGGAAUAUUGGUCAAUGGACGAGAGUCUGAACCAGCCAAGUAGCGUGAAGGAUGACUGCCCUAUGGGUUGUAAACUUCUUUUAUAUGGGAAUAAAGUAUUCCACGUGUGGGAUUUUGUAUGUACCAUAUGAAUAAGGAUCGGCUAACUCCGUGCCAGCAGCCGCGGU